rfam:Ipomoea nil DNA, scaffold: scaffold2927, cultivar: Tokyo-kokei standard.
GGAUGCGAUCAUACCAGCACUAAUGCACCGGAUCCCAUCAGAACUCCGAAGUUAAGCGUGCUUGGCGAGAGUAGUACUAGGAUGGGUGACCCCCUGGAAGUCCUCGUGUUGCAUCCC